AUUGAACGCUGGCGGCAGGCUUAACACAUGCAAGUCGAGCGAGCGGCGGACGGGUGAGUAAUGUCUGGGAAACUGCCUGAUGGAUGGGGAUAAUUACUGUAAACGGUAGCUAAUACCGCAUACCUUCCGAUGUGCCCAGAUGGGAUUCGCUAGUAGGUGGGGUAAUGGCUCACCUAGGCGACGAUCCCUAGCUGGUCUGAGAGUAUGACCAGCCAAACGGGAACUGAGACACGGUCCAGAGUCCUACGAGAGGAAGCAGUGGGGAAUAUUGCACAGUGGGCGCGAGCCUGAUGCAGCCAUGCCGCGUGUGUGAAGAAGGCCUUCGGGUUGUAAAGCACUUUCAGCGAGGAGGCGUUACUCGCAGAAGAAGCACCGGCUAACUCCGUGCCAGCAGCCGCGGUAAUAC
rnacentral:rRNA from 1 species